rnacentral:rRNA from 1 species
GAUGAACGCUGGCGGCGUGCCUAACACAUGCAAGUCGAACGGAAAGGCCCCUUUGGGGGUACUCUAGCGGCGAACGGGUGAGUAACACGGGAGUAACCUGCCCUUGACUUCGGGAUAACUUCAGGAUACUGGGGCCAAUACCGGAUAGGAAUCCUUGCUGCAUGGUGGGGGUUGGAAAGCUUCGGCGGUUUUGGGUGGACUCGCGGCUUAUCAGCUUGUUGGUGGGGUUGUGGCUUACCAAGGCUUUGACGGGUAGCCGGCCUGCGGGGGCGACCGGCCACAUUGAGUCUGAGGGGCGGCCCAGGCUGGUACGGGAGGCAGCAGGGGGGAAGCUUGAACGAGGGGCGGAAGGCUGAUGCAGCAGGGCCGCGUGCGGGAUGACGGCCUUCGGGUGGAAGACCGCUUUCAGCAGGAGCGAAGCUUGUGUUGACGGUACCUGCAGAAGAAGCACCGGCUAACUACGUG